AGGGAUCAUUACACAAAUAUGAAGGCGGGCUGGAACCUCUCGGGGUUACAGCCUUGCUGAAUUAUUCACCCUUGUCUUUUGCGUACUUCUUGUUUCCUUGGUGGGUUCGCCCACCACUAGGACAAACAUAAACCUUUUGUAAUUGCAAUCAGCGUCAGUAACAAAUUAAUAAUUACAACUUUCAACAACGGAUCUCUUGGUUCUGGCAUCGAUGAAGAACGCAGCGAAAUGCGAUAAGUAGUGUGAAUUGCAGAAUUCAGUGAAUCAUCGAAUCUUUGAACGCACAUUGCGCCCUUUGGUAUUCCAAAGGGCAUGCCUGUUCGAGCGUCAUUUGUACCCUCAAGCUUUGCUUGGUGUUGGGCGUCUUGUCUCUAGCUUUGCUGGAGACUCGCCUUAAAGUAAUUGGCAGCCGGCCUACUGGUUUCGGAGCGCAGCACAAGUCGCACUCUCUAUCAGCAAAGGUCUAGCAUCCAUUAAGCCUUUUUUUUCAACUUUUGACCUCGGAUCAGGUAGGGAUACCCGCUGAACUUAA
rnacentral:rRNA from 1 species